AUACGUAGGGUGCAAGCGUUAAUCGGAAUUACUGGGCGUAAAGCGUGCGCAGGCGGUUUUGUAAGACAGUGGUGAAAUCCCCGGGCUCAACCUGGGAACUGCCAUUUUGACUGCAAGGCUGGAGUGCGGCAGAGGGGGAUGGAAUUCCGCGUGUAGCAGUGAAAUGCGUAGAUAUGCGGAGGAACACCGAUGGCGAAGGCAAUCCCCUGGGCCUGCACUGACGCUCAUGCACGAAAGCGUGGGGAGCAAACAGGAUUAGAUACCCUGGUAGUCCACGCCCUAAACGAUGUCAACUGGUUGUUGGGGAUUUAUUUUCUCAGUAACGAAGCUAACGCGUGAAGUUGACCGCCUGGGGAGUACGGCCGCAAGGUUAAAACUCAAAGGAAUUGACGGGG
rnacentral:rRNA from 1 species